GUCAGGAUGGUCGAGCUGUCUAAAGCGCCAGAUUCAAGUUUCCAAAGUUUCUCCGCUAAUGCGCAACGACAGGGCGUUCUGGUCCACUAAUGUGGGCGUUGGUUCGAAUCCUACUCGUGACA